UUUCAGGCUGAGGAGGACUUGCUCAGGCCAAUUCCAAAUAUUGUGCUCGUUCAAUGCGUAGAAAUGACUUGCAUGAUGGCAUGCUGUGUUCAGAAGUCAUGCAUGAGGUCCAUACACCAACAGACACUAGCAAUCCUGUCCCUCGCAUUGGCUCAGCCUUCGGACAGGACCCAGCCCUGCACUGUUCACUGUAUUUGGAGAAAUGGUAAGAGUUCCAUACCGGCUGCAAUCCUCUCAGUGUACAAGUCUUUCAUACACCUCUGGGUAGGGAGACAUAAUUAACCAAUUGACCACUACCAACAAAAACAACCCAACCAAACAAGCAGAUGGAUCCGCUGCAUAUACAUGUUUGACAGACAUCUCUGACAUACAGCCAUUGUCGUACAUUUUGCUGCUCUGUCCAAUACAUGGGGAGACUCUGGCCCCGAAUGGCUUGUACUAUUAAUGUCACUGUAAAACCAAAUCCUAGGGCUAAAAAAAAAAAAAAAAAGAAAAAAGAAAAAAAAAAGAAAAAUACUAAUAGAAAAAAGAGUUCAUUUGUAUCUUGCAAUAUCCUGUUGAUUGUUUAGCCUUCAUCCUGGAGAACUGACCCUGGGGUAGAGAUAAAAGUGCUAUGUAUUGUAGCAUGUUACCUCUAGGGGGCCUUUGGGGGGCUUACAGAAACCUUGUGGGGGGUUUGGGGUGCUUAUUGCAUUCAGUGUCAUGUCUGUCUGCUUUUCUCCAGGCUCAGGUAGAUACGGAAAGGGGUUCAGAUAUUCUGAACUGCCCUGUCCUGCAGAGGGGUUGUCACAAGCUCCUGGCUGCACGGUUCUUCCUGCUUCUGCCAUAUCCCUCCAGCCAGCAGGGCUCCCCUUCCCAGCCGCUCAGGGCUGGCAAGGACAGCAGUGUUGGCUGAGAUAAGGCUGUAGGCUCUUCCAUUUGUAGAAUAACGCUCUCUAACAGGACCUGAUGGAAAGAUGGAGCUGCCUCUGGACAGAGCCCACUUGGUCUUGUUUCUACGACGGCUUUUGUGAGAAAGGGACUCAGUAGUCAUUCUUUAGGGUGUCACAGCUUCCCCUGGCCUUUCCUUUCAGCUCACCUUGCUUUCUGCUUAGUGGCCUGCCCACUGUUGUUGGGGGAUGGCUUCUAGAGGGGCGUCAUAUCUUCCAUUCCAUCCCCCACUUUAUAGAAGACAGUUCUUAGUCCAGGGUGUCUCAGCUGACCACAAGGUCUCAAAGCCAAGAUGCUGCACUCGAAUGCCAGAAAGUCUCUCUGAACCAAAUCAACACAAACUCUCCCUGAGCAUAGUAUGGAGGGAAUCGAGUGGCCCAUCAGUAGACACAUCAGAUGCACCAGUCCGCCUUGCAGUAGAAGCACUUUGGAUGUAAUCUCACAGUCCACCUGACUAGUUUUGCAUAGAACAAACCACAGCCAGUCAGUGAGCAGAGCUUUCUAUCUUCUUGGACCGGUAGACACUGUCCAACUCUCCCAGCUCAGAGAGUGUGUCCGUGUCACCACAGCUAGGACAAUUCUAGAGCGCCACCUGCAGGCAACAUCGCAAACAGCACAAAACAGGAGCUGACCUGUGGUUAUUCUUUUUAAGAGAAUUAUAAAUACUGUAAUAUAUAAUUUUAUUUUAUUGGCAUGCCUUUUUGUAAAUACAAAUUACUAACUUAUUAAAUAGGAAAUGGCUUCUGGCUUACGCCAUUGUCAUGGUUAUUUUUAUUUUUUAUACUUUCCUUUCUUCUUAGAAUUUAGAAGCUGUCAGCCAAUGUAUACCCCUAACCAGACAGACAGACAAAAAAUUUUUUAUUGCUAAUGGUAUUUUCCAAAACAACAAAAUAUAUAUAUAUUUUUGUUCCAAUGUGCAAUAAAUUCUAACCACUUCUAUGCAAGAUUUGGCUAAACUCAAUCAUUGUUCUUAGAUCUUGAGAUGGGCAACAGCUAUUUGAUCCUGCUAGGAACACCAAGCGCCAUGCUAGUAAUGUUCAGCGAUUAGAUCUGACCCUCCUACCCCAGCUCCUGACCCAGCCCAGCAGGCUGUGCCUCAGUUUCUCACACCCUCCAACAGCCUCGCAGGGAAGAAGCCACCUCCGAGUCUGCUUGCUCUAACUUUCACUCUGAUCAGACCUCUCCCAGCAAUGCCCCUCACCUUCCAUCUGUCCACCCAGCCACUCUCUGCCCGCCUCGCUCUCUCUGUCCCACUCCAUGAUCCUUUCUUGUGAACCACACCAUCACCAGCAGUUCACACCCGCAGUUAACAGGCAUCGAACCUUAAAGAAUCAGCUACGGCAGGUUUUGGUUGGUUUGGUUUUGUUUUGCGUCCUCAUUGCGUGAGCAAGUGGCAGGGCUUUGCCAAAUAUUCAUGAAGCCUGUCAAAGAGCGGCAGCAGCCAGUACCACUGCACAUAUAUAUAUAGAUAUAUAAAUAUAAUAUAAAUAUUUAUUUUUUGUAGCCGGGUCCUUGGUGCAGUAUUUAUAUUCCACGAUCCUCCUUU
rnacentral:lncRNA from 1 species